rnacentral:piRNA from 1 species
CUCUGGUGUGCACUAAGGUGUGAUUUCU